rnacentral:lncRNA from 1 species
UGUCUUGUGAAAGCAUUUCGUAGAUAAAAUAUACGAUCAAGUGUAUGAUUCAUUUCGCUCUUAUUUCUCAUAAUUGUUUGCAGUGUGCUCUCGGUAAUAAUCUACAUUUUACAGACUAAUAACUGUGAGAAAAAUCACUCAAAUUCUGUGUUGCAGGUUCUGUUAUUCCUCACAUUUCAAGGUUUUUCUUUUUCGUUGUUUGCUUAUUUACUACCGUGGAAUAAUAUUAAUCUUGUUUUUCUGGGACGCAUUUUUUGCAGAAAUUCAACAGUCUAGAAAUAUACCCUAAGGAUUUGGCAUGAUAGGAACAUCUGCGGAAUAGAGAGACAAUUGUGUGAUAGUGCAAUCGAUUCAGUUAUACAGGAUUGCACUGCUAUCGAUUUGAUGAUCAAGUGAAAGUAAUUAUUAACGGAUAGAAUCUAAAAUUACAAGGGGGUCAAAAUGAACGACGAUAUCGAAGAGGACGCAAUGAUGAAGGCAGCAGAUUUUGCGAGAAGCAGACGAACAGAUGACGUCAGACGUCGGUCAAAGCAUCAUCCUGAUUCGAUGGAGAAUUCAACACAAACAAAUAAUUUCAACCAGAGGUCAAGUUCGAACAUGUCACGUGAUUGGUUUCUAUGGAAACAGACGACCUUGUUGUGUUCAUUGACCUUUGCGUUUGUACUUAGUACAAUAACACAGUUGAAACAAAUGAUCAGUGUGGGAACUGGUCACAAGAACUACAAUCUAUUGUUGUGUACGAUGUUGUGUUCUCUAUCACUCCAGUGCUUUGUUGUUAUAUUGUUGUUAGUACUCACCAAUAAGGAACCUGAUUGGUUGCGUGAUAUUCACACCGGUACUUCGAAGAUGCAGAGAAUAAUUAAUGUAACCAUGGCAGCAGUAUUUGUUAUAUCUUUGCUAGAAAUAUGUGAAUUUGUGCUUAUGGACUGAUUGAUAUUUUUGUUUACGGCUUAUAAAAACAACUUUUCAAGAGUCUAUCGACAAGUAUAAUCUCGAAAUACGUGCCAGCCUCGUUUUGGAAGUUCACUACAGACGUUAUCAUAUACUGUUUGCCAGCCUCGUUUUGGAAGUACAGACGUUAUCAUACACUGUUUGCCAAAAACUACUGUGAUCUUAUUGCGCAAAUAGUAAAAUUUAUUGUAAUUAGUUGUACGUUUUCUAGAUUUUGUAAGAAAUGUUCAUUGUUUACCAUUGAUUUAAAAGGAAAAUGCCUGUUGUGUAGAUUCCAAGGGGAAUCAAAGAACAUUUCAUAUGAAGACAUUAAGGUAGCGUCAUUUUGGAGAUGUUUUAGCCAUCAUAGCAAAAGCUAACGGAAACUGCCAAUUCUUUUGAUGUUUCUAAUCAUAUCGGCGAUUCGUCUAAAACAAAGUGCUAUUAUUUCUUUCACAUGUUUCAUUAGUCUUGGGGUGAUGAGAACUUGCAGAGAGAUGCUUGUUAUAUCGAACAAAUCAUACAGUGCCGUCCGCAGUACUUCUUUCAGUAACAAUACUAAAUUAGAAAUAGCAGAAAACCACAGGUCGGCCAACUAAAUUUAGGUUCAUAUCUUG